GAUGGCAAUCGGCAACUUACUAAGCUUCGCCACGUGCGCACGGCACCUUGCAACGCUACUUGCACGAUGCUUUUCCAUUUGUUGCAAAAAGCCAUCAGCCACCACGAGCGAUGUCGCCUCCCGAUGUUGCCCGCAACAACCGAUGGCAAUUAACAACUUACUAGGCUUCGCCCCGUGCGCACGGCACCUUGAGGUGCUACUUGCACGAUGCUACGCCGUUCGUUCCACCACGAGCGAUGUCGCCUCCCGAUGUUGCCCGCAACAACCGAUGGCAAUCGGCAACUUACUAAGCUUCGCCCCAUGCGCACGGCACCUUCUGGCACUACUUGCACGAUGCUUUGCGAUUUUGUUGCCAAAAGUCAUCAGCUGCCACGAGGGAUGUCGCCUCCCGAUGUUUCCCGCAACAACCGAUGGCAAUCAACAUCUACUAAGCUUCGCCUCGUGCACAAGGCAGCUUGCGGCGGUACUUGCACGAUGCUCCGCCGUUCAUUGUCAAAAUCUAUAAGCCGCCACGGAGGGGGCUUUACAGACACAACCCACAACAAUCGACGGCAAUAGGCAACUUACUAAGCUUCGCCCCAUGCGCACGACACCUUGCGGCGCUACUUGCACGGCGUUCUGCCAUUCCAUUGGCGAAACCAUCUACCGCUAUGAGCGAUGUUUCCUGCAACAACCGAUGGCAAUCGACAUCUACUAAGCUUCGCCCCAUGCGCACGGCACCUUGCGGCGCUACUUGCACGACGCUCCGUCGUUCAUUGUCGAAAGUUAUCAGCCGCCACGAGAGAUUCCAGACACAACCCACAAACACCGAUGGCAAUCAACAACAACUUACUAAGCUUCGCCCAAUGAACACGGCACCUUGCGGCGCUACUUGCACGACGCUUCGCCGUUCUGUUGUCAAAAGCCAUCAGCCGCCACGAGCGAUGUCGCCUCCCGAUUUUGCCCUCAACA
rnacentral:lncRNA from 1 species